AAACCCGCAACCUCAUGGUUCCUAGUCGGAUUCGUUAACCACUGCGCCACGACGGGAACUCCAGAAAACGGUUUAUUCUUACAAAAAAAAAAUCUGAAAAUAAAUUCCAUUAUGGGCUUUAAAUGCUAGAUCAAGAACUUUGGGGAAGAUUUAUAAACGACUUAGAAAAGAAUAUUAUAUCCUCUGAUACACCCAGUGAGUGGUAAGAGACUUUGCUUGCUUUUUUUUGGUUUACUUGAGGCUUCAUCUCGGCAGAGUUCAGCAUUUUAAUUCUUAAAACCCCCUCUGAGGUUAAUAUGCUUAAGAUAGUAUGUGGAAUAGAAUAGGCACGAAUGCACAUUAGAAAUUCCCUCCAAUGACAGUAUGCGGAGCCACUGCUGGGCGUCAGUGUUUUCCAGGCUCUGGCUUAUGUGCAAUCAUGUAUCCGUCCUGAUGACACAAAUUUAGAUUUAACAACUCCUCUUUGUGAAUGCCCGUUCCUGACUAAUUUAAUCCUGCCUGGUUAAAUAAAUGCUUUCUAAUCCUGUAGGGCAGGGAAUAUUACCCUCAUAUGACAAAGGAGAAAAAUGAGAUUUAGUGACUAGCAUAGAGCCGCAUAAUUAAUAAAUGGCAAGAACAGUGCUAGAACCCAAGUUUUUCAGGUUCUAGACCCCCUUUCAAACAACGACACCGUAUAAUCACUGUGCUAACAUGAGACUAAGUACAGUCAUUCAUUUGUUUAAUCAUUCAACAGAUACUUAUUGAACAUCUAGCAUGUGUCAGAAAUGGUUUUAAACAUCACUGAGGAUACAGAAGGAAACAAAACAGACCAAGCCCUUCCCUCAGUGUUUCUAGACUACGGAAGGAGACAUAAUAAUUUAUGUCACGUGGUGAUCAUGUGAUAUGGAGACAAAACAAGGAAAAGAGAGCACUAUUAAGUGGUGGGGUUGCAUACUAACAGGGUGGUAGGGUAGGGGAGACCUUCCUGAGAAGAUGACCCAUGGGGGAGUUGAAGAUGAUGCAGUCACCUGGGGAAACACCUGGUAGACAAAGGCUCCAGCACCGAGCCCUGGAGGGAAGCACGGCUGGAGCAUGUGAGGGGUAGCAAGGCUGGUAUGGCCAGAACAGAACAUGGAAGGUGGAGAAAAGCAGGAGUGGAGGCCAGGGAGACGAGGAUCAAGGAAAGGACUGGCAGUGAAGGCCCCUAGCCCAUCAGUAAGAACACUGGCUUUUACUUGGAGAUGAGAACCCGUUUGAAGUUUUGGAGCACUGGGUGGCAUGAUGUAACCUAAGCUGAAACCAAGAACUAGGACUGGGCUGAUUUUUAUGGGGCUAUUACCCCAUGAAAGAGGCCUCAUUACGAUUCUCUAUCAUCUGUGAAAACAUUGUCGGCAACCCCAGAGAAUUAGCCAGAAGAACUUCUCAUAUUAAAGGAAUUGACGGUGAUUAAAACUCAAUCUGCCUAUGUGGGUCCAGCAAUGUGAAAUAUAAGAACAAAGAGGAAAUGGUGGGAUCCAGGAUUAUGCAAGAGACCAAGAAUUCAUGAGUCAAGAGCAUGUUGGAAGAUCAUUACAGGGACACAGAGAAGCAUUUAGAAUGAGCAAUACUUUUAUGAAGAAAAAGAAAAUGUAGUCAUAGUACCUUAACAGACCUUGGUCAAUUUGCGGGCAAGGUAGGGAAAACGAAACUGAAGAAACGCUACGUUCAAGGUAGAGAAGGAAAAGGACCACCUCGGAGGGGACAAACUUCUGUCAUCUCUGCUGUCCUCCGCCUGGAAGAGAGGAAUUUCAGAAUCCCUUCUGGCAAAUAGUGACUUCUCAUGGCACCCGUCAACCAAGCCCCACGGCUUGGAGGCCCAGUGUAAGAUCAAAAGGAGUGUAUGUGACAGACACCAUCAUGACUCCAGUCAGGCUGCAGUGGGUUGUAGAGGCCAAAAGACCCUCUCUGAAGACAGACAGGACCAGGUACUGCAAGUCUCUUGAGCACUCUGGGCUCAUCUACUGUGGAGGGAACUGAGGUGCCAGGCCUCCCACUGUAUCCUCUGCCAUUCUGGGCAGUCUGGGCUUCCCAUCAUCCCCUGAGCCUGCAUGCCACCUGUUGCCUCUGCCUGGGAUUUGCUUUGUUUAAAGCACACACACCAGGUCUCAGUUUAUUCAUCACUUCUGGUGCUUUUCCUAUUUUCACCUAAACUCACUCUCGGAUUUUGGGUGCUCCCGCCACCACGUUCAGUUAGAGCAGCACUUGUGUUUGUUCACCUUUAAAUUUCCACAGGCUUACCCACUGCUUGUAUAAAGGUACAAUAAUCACUGAGUGACUUUAGGGAAUUCUCCAUUUUUAAAAUUAUUUAUAUCACUUUUCCUAAACAACUUUUAGUUCCUAGGUGUGAAUCAAAUCCACAACAUAUUUUGUUAGUUAUAUAGAAUUUUAUUCUGUAACUGAGCAAGAAACCAAGAAGGAGAUAAGGUUUUGGAGUACAAUGGCUUUGUAGAGCCCCAGAAAGUCAGCCUUGGGAGGGCCCAUCCAGUUCCUUUACUGUCUAAUCAGAAAAGGAACUGAUUAGACAGAGGUCACACAGCUGAGUGUCGCAGAGGUAGGAUUAAAACCUUGCUUUUGUUUAUAUUGUGAUUUAGUAGGAAACCCUCCCAAUAGCCUCCUUCAGCUACACUGCUCUUUGUUUUCUUUUUAAGCAAUAAUUUCAACUGUCUCUUUCUCUGAUCUUCCAGUUUCGUUUUUUAGACCCCAGGGUUUUCUAGGGCUUGGCUAACAAGACACCAGCUGUAGAAAUAGCAGCAGGGCCUUCUCAGCAGCUUCCCAGAAGCCAGAGAGCCCACUCUGAAAAGCAUACAAUCUCCCCUUUGAAUUAAGUUCCCCCCCAACCCCCGCCUCUGUGAGAGGGAAACCCCAGCUCCCAAUGCACCCAACUCAGUAACACAGUGAAAAACAGCACAGCACACACAACUUUUGCCACUUUUGUAUUUUUAUUGUGGAACUGAGGUUUUUUUUUUUUUCUUUUACAUCAAAUAUCCUCAAUGGAAGAGGGGAUAUUGCACACAAAUAUCAUAAAAGCACUACAUAUUACUUUCACUGGAAACUAAUUUUCUACAUUAGAUAUGACUGGAUAGAAGUGAUGCAGGAUUAUAAGACAUAAUACCAUACACAGCUGCAGACUGACACAAACACCAUUCAGAACAAGAGAGAGGAGUGGGAGGUGCUUCUCAGGGAGGCUCAAGAGGACUUCCUUCCAGGCCGGAAGGAGAAGGGCUGCAGGCAGCGCGGUAAGCAGGACUCCAGCGCUGCAGUAUGUUCUCUGAAGGGCAGCCCAGUCUUGAUGCUCCAUCACGAUGGCUCCUUUUUGGGGAGCUCCAAAUGAGUGCAGAGAAGCUAUUUUUUUUCCCUUCCGUUUCAGUUUUUGAUGCUGUCUUUUAAAUCAAUAAAGUCACAGAUUUUUUUUUUUCAUAGUAAAUAGGUUUUUUUUUUUUUAUACCAGGUGAAUAACCUAAUUGCUCUCAAGGAAAUGCUCAUCCCUAGGCUGCUUUUGGUGUGUUGUUCAGUUGGUUAAAAGAUAAAAGCUUACAUACAGUUCCUUUCAAAUGGAAACAGGAUCUUUUUUUCUAAAUCCGAAGUGCAAAAAAAGUUAUUAAUCUAACUCACAAUAUCAUUACUGAGCAGGAACCUCCUGUGACAAGUGACUAAAGAGAGGCAAGAAAAGCAAUUUCAGAAUUGUAGAGCAGCUCCUAAGAGCUGAAAUUUGGUGACAGAGGGAAAAAUGGAAAGUGGUAAAAUUUCCAUUAGCAAAUGAUUAAAUCUUAUUAAAUGGGUAUCGGAAAGCCCCUAAACUGUAUAAGCUAUUGGAGACACUUAAAACAUUCAUAUACACUGGGGAAACCAUUCACUAUGAUAUGUAAGGUAAAGGAAAAAAAAAAUUUUUUUUUUGAACUCCAUGGAAAAUGGCAUUUAAGGGUGGGGGCAGGGGGCAAGAGUGGGGGAGGGUCAGUCAUUGUAUCCAGUCCCACCACAAGACUGAGAAAGCAUGCACAGGGGUUGGGUUUUAAGAAAGGGCAUAGAAUUAGUUAAAAUUGAAAAUGCAGGAUCAUCUCUAACAUUUAGUCUGUAGAAUUUUGUUUAAGAACACUACCAAAAAGGUCAUGAUCAUGAGUGCUAUCUUGAUGGAAUCCCAUCACUUAAACAGAGUGUAAAUUCCUUCCACUCAAUAUUCAAAUAUUCAAUCUAUACAAUUGGAUUAAGUAAUCAGCAUGAAUAAAGCUCCUAGAAGUCUGUGUCCAUCUUUAGCUCUCACCAUGAACUGUACAUGGUACACUGCGAUGGCUUGUUUACUAAACUAAUUGUGUAUUUAUGGAACUAGCAAAAUUAGGUUAGUCACACAGGUAGGAAAGGUGUGUGGAAGGACAGGAGCAACCCGUUAUGUAAAUGUUGGUUUUCCUGUUAUAUUCAGGCUCCGUGGUCAUCGCUGAGAACAAUGGAUGGAGAAAGGUACUGAUGUAUUUCAUAGGAAAAAGAGCCAGCUGACCAGUGACAGCUUUUGUAUAUCUUUUUUUUCCAUUAAAUUCCAGAGCAAAAGACAAGAGAAAAAAUUAAAAAAGGAGUGGGAAUAGAAUGGUUAUAAUUGAAUUCUGGCUAUAAUUCUCCUCAAAUGUUUGGUUUUUUCUUAAAAUAAUGUACAUGCUAAAUAAAUUUAAUUUGGGAAAUUAGAAAAUAAUUCCAUCUUCUAUCAAAGAAAAAUCAACCAGAGGUCUGGAUUUGGCAAGAAGGCUGGAAAUCUGUUUCUCUUCCAAUGAAUGCAUUAUGUGAACCAACUUAACAACUAAUCAUUCAAUAAUUAUCUGGAGUAUCUUAGGUUGUCUCAUAAGAUAUGUUUGAAGUAGAUGACUUUAUACUCACUGAAAUCCAUUUUUGUCACAAUGAGUUUUCCAUCAUGUGCUCCUUUUUUUGUACCCUUAAUCAUUGUGGUGGUCUUAAGGAUUUCAAAGAAACAGGGCAAUAAAUAAAGCUGCAUUUCUAGAGAAGCCUAAAAAAAAAUAGAAUAUUAACUUUUUUAAAAAAUUAAACAUUUGAAAAAUGUAAUUCACAGCAUUAAGUAGACUGCAUUAGAUCCUCAGUGAAGGGACCUGGAAGAAGCAUUGUUUAAACCCUCAUAGUAGUUAGCAGUGCAAAACACACACUUAUCAGACAAAAAUAAACGAAAAUGUUAAUUCUGAAAUAAAUAACUAACAUAGGAAAUAAAACGAGGUGAUUGUUGACUACUCCGUAGAUCUUAGAGUCUGCAGGAGACGCAACGCGACAGAGCCCAGCACAGCUGUCACUGAGAAGUUUGCCACAUCUGAACACUGGGUGCGUGGAUCUGCAACUCGAAUCUUGGUGUCGGUUUUAAUCAUGAUCUGGCUUCCCAGGUUCAUAGUUGGAUGACGAAAAUGAUGGAAAUGAUCUUUGAACUCUACGUGAUGAAUCGUACGAGUUGGGAAUUCACUUGCUUUCAGUGUAUUUUUCCUUUAUUAUUAUUUUUUUUUUCCAGAAAAGAAAAUCCCAAAGCAAAUUUUUGCUAAGGUUCUUUGAACUUGUCUUGGCUCUUUUACCUCAUGGUUGAAGAUCCUGAAAGAAGUAUGUAGGAAACCAGUGGGUGCUAUGCUUGUAAAAGCCUGGAAAAGUAGCCAUUCUCCCCCCAACUCUCAAAUAGCACAUGCUCAGAUUUCUGUUAUGGAAAUUAAGGGGUGGGAGGUAUCACUAUUCCUGGUAGUGAUGGGCUUUUUAUAAAUAUUAUUACUGCAAUAUCAGACUUCACUCUCACUAGAACUUCAAAAAACAUUAUUCAUUUUUUUGUCUUAUGAAACACUUAAAAAAAAAAGAAGGCGGUCACUUGAAAAUUUUCUUUGCAUUUUCCUGUAAAUGAAAACAUUUGUUAAAAAGUUCAUCUAUGAAAAGUUCUCACAUAUCUAAAAAAAAAAAAAAAUUCUUCUGUACACUUGUUCCCAUAAUUAUGCUGAAAUUAAUGGAAAAUUAAAAAAAAAAGCGCCAAUGUAAGACAAAGGAAGGUAAAUACUGUACACUUGCUGAGAAGCUCUUCCACCGUUAAGAUUUACUGUUUUCCCAGUUCUGAU